UUGCCGCCGCCGCCUCCAUCGCCGCCGUCGCCAUGGAUGUCCCCGUCAAGGGUGGAUCUCGAGUGAGGGAUCAUUUGAACCUGGAGCGUGUGCUGGAGCUCGUCCGUGAAGUUGGAAUUGAACGGGAAUUGCGCCAUCCUAAGGGAAAGCCUCUGUAGGUGGAGGUGGCCAAAAAGUACAACGCCUCUGAGGGGUUACAAGGGGAUGAUCAAUACAAGUCUGCCAGCUUGAAACGGGCCUGGAACAACUUAAAGGUUCGAGCUCGGAAGAAAAAAUCUGCGUUUGUCAAAGACCUCAAAAAGACGGGUGGGGGUCCACCGCCCUCGCGGAGAUUGAGCCAUUUUGACCGGGAUGUAUUGGCUGAAGCGGGAGAUCGGAUUGAAUUUGAGUCCAAUUUUGAUUCCGAGAGUCAGUUUGACCGAGCUGCCCAAGAACGAAGUGAAGCAAUAGCGUUGCGUGACGAGUCUGACUACGAGAAGAUUCAAGAGGUGGAACCGUGCAUUGCGGAGAUUCGGCUCGAGAAUUGCCUGGAACAAGACAUGGUUCUUGUUGAGGAAGGUCAGCCUCUGUCAUUCCAGCUUCUACCAAUCGGUGUUGAUGCCGCCAACAGGGAAUCCGAUCCAAGCCCAUGACAGAAGGACGUUAAAGCUCAAAGAAUUGAAAAAACCAAGGACCCUGCUAUCUUGUUCUACCUGAACCCUAAACAAGGCCAACUCCAAUCGGAAGACUUGACUGAUGUGACGCCGCAACUGUCAUUGCCUCGUUCGUCACCACCUCGUUUGUCACCACCUCGUUCGUCACCACUGAUGUCACUCGUCAAUUUGUCAAUU